GAACCAGGUUGCGGCGGUACUGC
rnacentral:siRNA from 1 species